AUGGGGAAACAUUGUUUCCCAUACGAUCACCGAAGUUAAGCAAUGUCGAGUCUGGUCAAUACCUAGAUGGAUAACCGCUUAGGAAUACCAGAUGCUGUAA
rnacentral:rRNA from 1 species